UCCCUUAGUAGCGGCGAGCGAACAGGGAAGAGCCCAGCGCCGAAUUCCGCGUCUCAAAGGGCGUUUGGAACAUGUGGCGUUUAGGAGGAAUCUCUCCGAGGGCAGACGGUGUCGCAAGUCCCCCUGAACGGGGCUGUGAUCCAGAGCGGGUGCGAGGCCCAUAGCUGGUACCGUCUCCUUCGGGUGUCCCCUCCUUGGAGUCGGGUUGCUUGGGAGUGCAGCCCUAAUUGGGUGGUAAACUCCACCUAAGGCUAAAUACGUCCGUGAGACCGAUAGCAAACAAGUACCGUGAGGGAAAGUUGCAAAGAACUUUGAAGAGAGAGUUCAAGAGUACGUGAAACCGCUCAGAGGCAAACGGGUGGGCCCACGAAAGCCGAAGGCGGGGGGAUUCAGUCGAGAGGACGGUGGGGCAGGACUGGCUGGUUGGACGGACCGUGCCAGGCCGGGUCAGUUCCCGAGAUCUGCCGCCUUUCGACGCAUUUCCCCCUGCUUAGUAGGACGCCGCAACCGGUUGGCGCUGCAGCCAUAAGGGAGAGUAAAUGGAAGGUAGCCAGUGAGUUCUUCUUCGGAGGCGCGAGCUGGUCCUAAGCCGACUCUCCUGGUGCUUGUGGCCCGACCGUGGUCGUGAGUCCCUCAACGGGAUGUCGCCGAGCCCUCUGACUGGAGCGGGAGAAAUGGCAGGCUGCUUUCCGCGGAAAAAAUCGAUCGCUUCACGCGUGCAGUGGGCGAUCUCCGGAGGUAGCUGCUGGUGCRUUUUUCUCCUGCGCUGGGCACAGGCAGUUGGCGGCGAGUAGGUCGGUCACCCACCCGACCCGUCUUGAAACACGGACCAAGGAGUCUAACAUGUGCGCGAGUCAUUGGGUCUUGAACAAGCCCAAAGGCGCAAUGAAAGUGAAGACCAGCACUGAAGCUGGUGGAGUUGGGAAACUGUGUCACUGAAGAUGCAGUUGCACCAACGGCCCGUCCCGUCCGCAUCGUCGGUGGGGCGGAGCGAGAGCGUACACGUUGGGACCCGAAAGAUGGUGAACUAUGCCUGGGCAGGACGAAGCCAGAGGAAACUCUGGUGGAGGUCCG
rnacentral:rRNA from 1 species